rnacentral:rRNA from 1 species
ACGUACACUCCUACGGGAGGCAGCAGUAGGGAAUCUUCGGCAAUGGGGGCAACCCUGACCGAGCAACGCCGCGUGAGUGAAGAAGGUUUUCGGAUCGUAAAGCUCUGUUGUAAGUCAAGAACGAGUGUGAGAGUGGAAAGUUCACACUGUGACGGUAGCUUACCAGAAAGGGACGGCUAACUACGUGCCAGCAGCCGCGGUAAUACGUAGGUCCCGAGCGUUGUCCGGAUUUAUUGGGCGUAAAGCGAGCGCAGGCGGUUUGAUAAGUCUGAAGUUAAAGGCUGUGGCUCAACCAUAGUUCGCUUUGGAAACUGUCAAACUUGAGUGCAGAAGGGGAGAGUGGAAUUCCAUGUGUAGCGGUGAAAUGCGUAGAUAUAUGGAGGAACACCGGUGGCGAAAGCGGCUCUCUGGUCUGUAACUGACGCUGAGGCUCGAAAGCGUGGGGAGCGAACAGGAUUAGAAACCCGUGUAGUCCCA